rnacentral:rRNA from 1 species
AAACGAUGUCGACCGGCGAUCCGCUAUCGUUAACUGAAUGACUUAGCGGGCAGCCUCGGGGAAGCCAGAGUGUUUGGAUUCCUGGGGGAGUACGACUGCAAAGCUGAAACUUAAAGGAAUUGACGGAAGGGCACCACCAGGAGUGGAGCCUGCGGCUUAAUUUGACUCAACACGGGAAAUCUCACCAGGCCCGGACACCGGAAGGAUUGACAGAUUGAGAGCUCUUUCUUGAUUCGGUGGGUGGUGGUGCAUGGCCGUUCUUAGUUGGUGGAGCGAUUUGUCUGGUUAAUUCCGAUAACGAACGAGACUCUGGCCUACUAAAUAGACGUUAGAUCCCUUUGUGGGUCUAUCGCAGCUUCUUAGAGGGACGGGCGGCGUUCAGCCGCACGAGAUUGAGCAAUAACAGGUCUGUGAUGCCCUUAGAUGUUCUGGGCUGCACGCGCGCUACACUGAAGGAAUCAGCGUGUGUUCCCUGCCCGAAAGGACUGGGAAACCCGUUGAACCUCCUUCGUGAUGGGGAUUGGGGAUUGCAAUUAUUCCCCAUGAACGAGGAAUUCCCAGUAGGCGCGAGUCAUAAGCUUGCGUCGAUUACGUCCCUGCCCUUUGUACACACCGCCCGUCGCUACUACCGAUCGAGUGAUUUAGUGAGGCCUUUGGACUGGUCUUCAGUAUGGCUUUCGGGUCGUGUUGGAGUACCGGAAAGAUGACCAAACUUGAUCACUUAGAGGAAGUAAAAGUCGUAACAAGGUUUCCGU